GAUGAAGAACGCAGCGAAUCGCGAUACGUAAUGUGAAUUGCAGAAUUCAGUGAAUCAUCGAAUCUUUGAACGCACAUUGCGCCCGGUAGUAUUCUGCCGGGCAUGCCUGUUCGAGCGUCAUUUCAACCAUCAAGCCCCAGCGCUUGUGUUGGGGGCCUGCGGCUGCCGCAGCCCCCUAAAAGCAGUGGCGGGCUCGCUAUCACACCGAGUGCAGUAGUUCAUCUUCUCUCCGGUCUUGUGAGGCGGGUUCCGGCCGUGAAACACCCCACUACAUUCAAGGUUGACCUCGGAUCAGGUAGGAAUACCCGCUGAACUUAAGCAUAUCAAUAAGCGGAGGA
rnacentral:misc_RNA from 1 species